UACGUAGGGUCCGAGCGUUGUCCGGAAUUAUUGGGCGUAAAGGGCUCGUAGGCGGUUUGUCGCGUCGGGAGUGAAAACGCCGUGCUUAACACGGCGCUUGCUUUCGAUACGGGCAGACUAGAGGUAUGCAGGGGAGAACGGAAUUCCUGGUGUAGCGGUGAAAUGCGCAGAUAUCAGGAGGAACACCGGUGGCGAAGGCGGGUCUCUGGGCCGAUAUUGACACUGAGGCACGAAAGCGUGGGGAUCAAACAGG
rnacentral:rRNA from 1 species